GAUGAACGCUGGCGGCGUGCCUAAUACAUGCAAGUCGAGCGAACAGACGAGGAGCUUGUUCCUCUGACGUUAGCGGCGGACGGGUGAGUAACACGUGGAUAACCUACCUAUAAGACUGGGAUAACUUCGGGAAACCGGAGCUAAUACCGGAUAAUAUAUUGAACCGCAUGGUUCAAUAGUGAAAGACGGUUUUGCUGUCACUUAUAGAUGGAUCCGCGCCGCAUUAGCUAGUUGGUAAGGUAACGGCUUACCAAGGCAACGAUGCGUAGCCGACCUGAGAGGGUGAUCGGCCACACUGGAACUGAGACACGGUCCAGACUCCUACGGGAGGCAGCAGUAGGGAAUCUUCCGCAAUGGGCGAAAGCCUGACGGAGCAACGCCGCGUGAGUGAUGAAGGUCUUCGGAUCGUAAAACUCUGUUAUUAGGGAAGUACAAAUGUGUAAGUAACUAUGCACGUCUUGACGGUACCUAAUCAGAAAGCCACGGCUAACUACGUG
rnacentral:rRNA from 1 species